rnacentral:rRNA from 1 species
GACGAACGCUGGCGGUGUGCUUCACACAUGCAAGUCGAACGAGGUAGCAAUACCUAGUGGCGGACGGGUGAGUAACGCGUGGGAAUCUGCCUUUAGAUGGGGGAUAACGGGUCGAAAGACUCGCCAAUACCGCAUAUGACGAAAGUUGAAAGGAGUAAUCCGUCUAAAGAUGAGCCCGCGUCCGAUUAGCUAGUUGGUAGAGUAAAAGCCUACCAAGGCGACGAUCGGUAGCUGGUCUGAGAGGAUGAUCAGCCACAAUGGGACUAGAGACACGGCCCAUACUCCUACGGGAGGCAGCAGUGGGAACUUUACGCAAUGGCGAAAGCCUGACGUAGCGACACCGCGUGAGCGAAGAAGCCCCUUGGGGUGUAAAGCUCUGUCAGCUGGAACGAAAAAAAUGACGGUACCAGCAGAGGAAGCCAUUACGCG